rnacentral:misc_RNA from 1 species
UAAUAAGUGUUUUAUGGCACUUUUUAAGUCCAUAUCCACCUUGUGUGCAAUGUCAGUCGAUCUUCUUCAUGGAGAUCGACCAAACAUCAACCUUUAUUCUUUAACACUUUGUCUGAAAAAUAUUAUGAAUAAACAAUUCAAAAUA